UUACCCGCUGAAUUUAAGCAUAUCACUAAGCGGAGGAAAAGAAACUAACAAGGAUUCCCUCAUUAACGGCGAGUGAAGCGGGAUCAGCCCAGCACCGAAUCCCCUGGCAUAUCGUCGGCGGGAACUGUGGUGUAUGGGACGUCAACUGUCGUCAGACCGGUGGCCGAAGUCCUCCUGAUCGGGGCCUCUCCCAGAGCGGGUGUCAGGCCUUUACUGGCUGCUAGUCUGUCGGCUGCGAGCGUCUCCGGAGUCGGGUUGUUUGGG
rnacentral:rRNA from 1 species